rnacentral:rRNA from 1 species
UACGUAGGGUGCGAGCGUUGUCCGGAAUUAUUGGGCGUAAAGAGCUCGUAGGCGGUUUGUCACGUCUGCUGUGAAAUCCCGAGGCUCAACCUCGGGCCUGCAGUGGGUACGGGCAGACUGGAGUGCGGUAGGGGAGAAUGGAAUUCCUGGUGUAGCGGUGGAAUGCGCAGAUAUCAGGAGGAACACCGGUGGCGAAGGCGGCGACCUGGGUAGAUACUGACGCUGAGGUGCGAAAGCGUGGGGAGCAAACAGG